rnacentral:rRNA from 1 species
UACGAAGGGGGCGAGCGUUGUUCGGAUUUACUGGGCGUAAAGGGCGCGCAGGCGGUCUUGAAAGUCAGGCGUGAAAGCCCCGGGCUCAACCUGGGAAUUGCAUUUGAGACUGCGUAGCUAGGGUGCGGAAGAGGGAAGCGGAAUUUCCGGUGUAGCGGUGAAAUGCGUAGAUAUCGGAAGGAACACCAGUGGCGAAAGCGGCUUCCUGGUCCAGCACCGACGUUCAGGCACGAAAGCGUGGGGAGCAAACAGG